UACUACCGCCGCAUCGGUUAGCAAGGAGGCCCGCCAGAUCUGGCAACUCCGGCAUCCCCGCUGGUCGAUCCGGUUAGCGGA
rnacentral:pre_miRNA from 1 species